CAAUGUGCUUUGGAGGAAUGUGUAGAAGCGUAUUUGCAGGAUCUUAUCCGCAGAAACUUUGUGAAAAUUGCACGGAAAAAGAUUGAUGGUAAAGUUAAAGCCUGCCGCGUCCAUCGCAUGCUACAUGAAUUUUGCAAAACAGAAGUUGGGAAAGGAACAAAGAGUUUCCUCACAGAAAUUAAGUUGUUAUUGUUCCUCAACUAUCAGAGGCUCGCCGUCUUUCCAUUCACUCCAAUAUUCCAUCGUUCAUCUCUAGCAAACCUUCGUGACCUCAUACCCGUUCAUUCUUUGUUUAUAGAACUUAUUUCCCCAGAAGCCUGAGCUACGCAGAGUUUUAGAUGCUAAGCGGAUCAUAUUCCUUCAUAUUGAUUCUGAUAUGUACUAUUUGCUUCACAUGAGGUCGGCAAAGCUGGGAAAGGUGGUGAAAAAAUUCAGUCAUUCGAAACUAUUUAUCCCGAAAGUUGCACCAAAGAAUUAUCCAACAUGGCUCGUAAUUUGAAGAAAUUGCGCAUUGGAGGGAAAGAUUGUAUCAUUUGACAGUUUGCCAUAAUUGGGUUGUCUAAAACAUUUGAAGCUAAUAAGUGAUGUGUAUCCAAAUAUACCUUCAGUAGGUCGACAUGAGAGCCUUCCCCCAUACAAUAAAUUUCCACCAACGCUGAAGAGCCUAACUUUAGCUGGUACAUAUCUUGAUUGGAGUCAAAUGAGUAUCCUAGCACUUCUGGAAAAGCUAGAGGUGCUCAAGUUGAAAAACAAGGCAUUCAUGGGACGGAUUUGGGAAACUGAGGAUGGAGGUUUUCGAACUCUUUAAGUCUUGCACAUUGAAGAAACUGACUUAGGGAUUUGGUUAUCUUCUGCCCGUCACUUUCCAGACCUUAGAACACUUAAGCUACGCAACUAUAGUCAGCUUCAAGAAGUUCCGAUUGAACUUGCUCGCAUACCAAACCUCACACUGCUGGAUUUGUACGAACCUCAUCUUGCUGCAAGCUGUGCAAAUAGAUUUAUUGAGGAAAAGGAAAUGUUUCUCAAAAGCGAAGAUGUGUUCAAGCUUUCCAUUUAUCCUCCAUUCUUGUGAGACUGCAGUGUUUUAAGCUCUUUCUAAGAUGGACAUCGAAGAGGCACUGGUUGAAUGGCAAAGGGAAUUAAUAGUUUUUUUUAAUGAUUGGAAGAUGGAGCAUGCUGUAUCCAAAGCAGAUGGGCGUUGAAUUCACUGUUGAGAAAAGCAUUUUCUGUCGUGCUAUUGCCAAGGCCACAAAGACGAUGAAGCAAAGCUAAAAAAAUCUUCUUACUGUCGAGACACAAUGUAAAGGUGAUACUUUUCAAUUAUGCUCAAGACUUUUUGGUAGGGAAGUUCUGAUCUCAUAAAAUUUGAUUGAGUCCUCUGCAACAGAAAAUUUUAAGGGAUUCCCAAAAUGACAAACGUUCUCUAUUUUAUUGGGCGGAGGAGUAUAAUUUAGGUUUGAUUGCUGAUUUCAUGAAUGUAGCAUGAUUCCCCUGCAAUCCCUAUAACAAUCUUGCAAAAUACAAC